rnacentral:rRNA from 1 species
GAUAAACGCUAGCGGGAGGCCUAACACAUGCAAGCCGAGCGGUAUUGUUUCUUCGGAAAUGAGAGAGCGGCGUACGGGUGCGUAACACGUGUGCAACCUGCCUUUAUCUGGGGGAUAGCCUUUCGAAAGGAAGAUUAAUACUCCAUAAUAUAUUGAACGGCAUCGUUUAAUAUUGAAAGCUCCGGCGGAUAGAGAUGGGCACGCGCAAGAUUAGCUAGUUGGUGAGGUAACGGCUCACCAAGCCGAUGAUCUUUAGGGGGACUGAGAGGGUGAUCCCCCACACUGGUACUGAGACACGUACCAGACGCCUACGGGAGGCAGCAGUGAGGAAUAUUGGUCAAUGGGUGCAAGCCUGAACCAGCCAUCCCGCGUGAAGGACGACUGCCCUAUGGGUUGUAAACUUCUUUUGUAUAGGGAUAAACCUACCCUCGUGAGGGUAGCUGAAGGUACUAUACGAAUAAGCACCGGCUAACUCCGUGCCAGCCGCCGCAGUAA